UAACGCGUGAGGAACCUGCCUCAAAGAGGGGGACAACAGUUGGAAACGACUGCUAAUACCGCAUAAGCCCACCGGUGCCGCAUGGCACAGAGGGAAAAGGAAGCAAUCCGCUUUGAGAUGGCCUCGCGUCCGAUUAGCUAGUUGGUGAGGUAAUGGCCCACCAAGGCGACGAUCGGUAGCCGGACUGAGAGGUUGAACGGCCACAUUGGGACUGAGACACGGCCCAG
rnacentral:rRNA from 1 species